GUUCUUGUAGUUGAAUUACAACGACGGUUUUUCAAGCCGUGAGUUCUGGUUAAAGUCCUGGCAGGAAUU
rnacentral:tRNA from 1 species